AUGUUGUUCAUCUGGUCAAUUAUUAUGUUCUCAGUAAUAGGUGACACCUAUGAGCAGACUAUCGAGCCAAACCAACAUGAAGUGUAUGCAGAAGUGGGUAGUAAUGUUCUUCUUUCCUGCAACUACUCCUCAGCAAACAAUCUACUAUGGUAUAAACAGUCUCCAGGAUCAGCUCCCCAAUAUCUUCUGCUCAUCCCGCACUACACUGGGACUGGACAGAGAGCUGAUUCUCUUGACUCUCGCUUCUCUGGUAAAUUGAACAAAGAGAAGACCCGUGUUGAUCUGGAGAUCUCCUCUGCUGAAGUGACAGACUCUGCUCUGUACUACUGUGCUCUGAGGCCCACAGUGACAGGAAACCCAGAAACACUGUACAAAAACCUAACAUCGCCUGAGAGAUUCCUCAUAGUGGACUACUCUUGGAUCAUAACCAACACUGAUAGUACAAAAUGGACCCUCACACAUGAAAAAGAAGACAACCUUGUGGUUCUGGAGAUCUCCUCUGCUGAAGUGACAGACUCUGCUCUGUACUACGGUCCUCUGAAGCCUACAGUGACAGGAAACCUCAAACACUGUACAAAAUCUGAUCUUGACAAUAUGAACACAGAGAACCUGAGUCUGAGACCCCUAGAACCUGAGUCUGAAUAG